CUUCUCUUAUUGCGAACAUAUGAGGAGAUGGAAGAGAAAUUUAAUAAUGGAAAAUUGUCACAUAAAAAAUGUUGGGAGCUAUUUGCUCAAGUAUUAAAAGAUAAGGGAUACAAUGUAACAGGGCCACAAUGUGCCUCAAAGUUCAGAGGUUUAAAAAACAUACAAAUCAAUAAAGGAUCACAAUUCAAAAUCAGGAAACGAUCGACGAACAUGGCAGUAUUUUGAGAUUAUGGAUAACAUGUUUUCAAAAAAAGCCUGGUGUAAACCUACAGCACUUGCUUCGUCCACUGGUCUAUGAAUUAAAAAUACAAAUUCAGAAGAAUCUUCAUCUUCGUCACAGUUUCCAUAUGAUUCUGAUGCUGAAAAGGAAAAUGAUCUGCCUAAAAAGAGAACAAAACCCACAAAAACAUCUGUAAACGAACUUCUGCAACAAAGAUUAGAGCAAAAAGAAGAGCACGAUCGUAAAAGACAGAAACUUCACGACGAAAGAAUGCUUAUAGAAACAAAGUUGCUUGACACUCUUACACAAUUUUUAAAUAAGGUUGAAUAAUGUCAAUGGCAUAAAGAUGUCUUUAUUUGACAUAGUUUAUUUUAAAUUUAUUUUAAAUUCAUACUUUAUUUUUUCUUAUAAGAUUUUGAAGAUAGUACAAAAUAUGAGUGAUAUAUUUGUUAACUAUACUGUGAAAGAUUUUUAUUUCAGUUAUUUUUCGUACAUUGCUUUAUUUUUAUGUUAUGUAAAAUACAUAUAGGUAUUAAAAUUAUAUGAACAAUAUACAGGGUGUUCCAUUUUAAAGGAGCCAGUCAAAUAUCUCGAAAAAUAUGGAAGAUACGGAAAAACGUUUCAGACAAAAGUUGUUUGGUUCGAAGGAAGACAUAAGAUGGUGCCAUUGAUGUGACCUUGGAUUGUCAUUUGAAGGUCACAUGAAGGUCACAUUCAAUUUCUUAAAUGAAAACCUCUAUUUUUUAUUGCAUAUUCUUAUAGCUUAUGCCAAGAGCUUUCCAAAACACUAUAAUAAA